GUAGGGAAUAUUGGGCAAUGGAUGCAAGUCUGACCCAGCCAUCCCGCGUGCCGGAAGAAGGCCCUCAGGGUUGUAAACGGCUUUUGACGGUGAAGAAUCGACAGGAUGCGUCCUGUUUUGACGGUAGCCGUUGAAUAAGCACCGGCUAACUCCGUGCCAGCAGCCGCGGUAAUACGGAGGGUGCGAGCGUUGUCCGGAUGUAUUGGGUUUAAAGGGUGCGUAGGCUGGAAGGUCAGUCAGCGGUGAAAAGCUGUCGCUUAACGAUAGUCUUGCCGCAGAUACUUCCGUUCUUGGAUGAGGAGGAGGCCACUGGAACGGAUGGUGUAGCGGUGAAAUGCAUAGAUAUCAUCCAGAACACCGAUUGCGAAGGCAGGUGGCUGUACCUUAAUCGACGCUGAUGCACGAAAGCAUGGGGAGCAAACAGGAUUAGAAACCCUAGUAGUCC
rnacentral:rRNA from 1 species